rnacentral:tRNA from 2 species
GCGGGUGCAGAUCAGUUGGUAGAACAUGAGCUCUACAAGCUAAAAGUUCGCAGGUUCGAACCCCGUCGCCCGCUCCA